GUUUGAUGUGUGUGUGUGUGUGUGUGUGAAGGGGACUUCUGGCUUUAUUGCAGCAUUAGCACUGGUGCUGUGGGGGCGUGUUGACUCUGAGGAGCCAGUGAUGGACGGAGUGCUCGCCUUCAUCACCUUUCAGAAGGUGUAUUACCCACUGCUGUGCAUUCUGGGUAUUCCAGCAAAUCUCUUCACCUUCUACAUGAUACGUUUCCGCACCUGUGGCAUGUCGGACUCGGCCCGGAUCUACCUGAGCUGCCUGGCGCUGGUUGAUACCUGUUACCUGGUGUGGGUCAUCCUGCUGGACCUGUGUCUGACCUUCCUGCAAAGCCAGCCCUUCUGGCACUACCACCCGUGGUGCGGGAUCAUGAACAUCCUGCAGUUUGGGACCUUCUACUGCUCUGCGUGGGUCGUCGUGGCCUUCACCAUUGAGCGCUUCUUGGUUCUGAGGGCAACAGUGAGCUGUCAGCGCCCCCUGCAUGCCAGGCAUGCAUUGCUCACUUGCACCACCAUUAUCCUGCUCUCACACCUGGCCUCUAUACCAGCAGGCUGGAUCAAUGUGGUGGCACAGGUGAACCUGACUCUGAAUGGUCAGGUGGUCAGCAUGCCGCGGUGUAUUUACCGUGA
rnacentral:lncRNA from 1 species